AGAGAGAGGGAGGGGAAGGAGGAGGAGGAAGCAGGACAGAAAAAGUAUGCUCGGAACAGCCCGGAACAAUCACUUACACAUGGGGGGAUUAAUCAGAGCUUAAUUUAUGGAAUAAUUUUUAGUAACAGAGUAGGGCUCGCUGUCAUUUUGCACACAACUGUCCUAAAAUGGACACCGUACACUGAAUGCAAGUAAUGAGUGACAGCAGCGAAGGAAUCAGUUUCUCUGUACCAUGCUCACGGCUGCCUGGCUCAAGCUGCUGUGCUCAUGAAGACACAGGAGGGCUUACGCUACAGGAAAAUGCCACCAUAUGCGGUGGAACCAGGAUCCCUGAAGCUGGAAGCUUCUGGCGUGAAGAUUACCUCCGUGCUUCAGCGGUUGGAAGUGGUAAAGAUGCCCCAUGCUAUGGAAAGUGGGUUAACCCCCCUCCUACAGCUAGCGGAGGUAUUAGCCUUCGUAGGAUUACUGUGGUAUAUGUUAUCAAUGAAGUAAGUCCGGAGUUGCAUGCUUGUGAGGCUGCUGCAUUAUACAGUUUGCAGGAGGCAUGUGAGAACCAUGGGGCACUGCUUGAGACCCUGGAUUUCGGCAAACUGGACUUUGGCGAGACGUCAGUGCUAGACACCUUCUACAAUGCAGAUAUUGCAGUGGUUGAGAUGAAUGACGCUUUUCGACAGCCUUCUUUGUUCUACCAUCUGGGAGUAAGAGAAAGCUUUAGCAUGGCAAACAACAUAAUUCUUUACUGUGACACAAAUUCAGACUCCCUGCAGUCACUGAAGGAAAUUAUCGGGCAAAAGAAUACUAUGUGCACAGGUAAUUACACAUUUAUUCCUUACAUGAUCACGCCACAAAACAAAGUGUUUUGCUGUGAGAGUAUUUUCAUGAGAGGAAUGACUGAACUAAUGCCGUCAAACUUUGAGUUACUUCUUGGUCCGAUCUGCCUGCCCCUAGUGGAUCGCUUUGUUCAGAUUCUGAAGGUGGCACAGGCCACGUCAUGCCAAUAUUUUCGAGAGGCAAUACUAAAUGAUAUUAGAAGGGCUCGGAACCAAUACACUGGGAAGGAUCUGGCUGCUGAGCUAAUAAGGAUCCGCCAGCGCGUAGACAGCAUCGAGUUGUUAUCACCUGACAUCAUUAUCAAUCUGCUUUUGUCAUACAGAGAUAUCCAGGACUACGAUUCAGUUGUGACGUUGGUGGAAAUAUUGGAGAAACUUCCAACCUUUAAUUUAUCUUCCAAUCACCAUAUAAAAUUUCAUUAUGCAUUUGCAUUAAACAGGAGAAAUCAUCCAGGUGACAGAGUAAAAGCCCUUGAAAUAAUGUUGCCUUUGGUGCAACUUGAAGAUCAAGUAGCUUCAGACAUAUACUGCAUUGUGGGAAGGAUCUACAAAGAUAUGUUCUUAGAUUCUAACUUCAUGGAUACCGAAAGUCGUGAUAAUGCUAUACAUUGGUACAGGAAGGCCUUUGAAUCUGAACCAACACUUCAUUCUGGAAUCAAUUAUGCGGUGCUACUUCUAGCUGCUGGUCAUCAAUUUGAGACUUCUUUGGAACUCCGGAAAAUCGGAGUUAAACUCAGUAGCCUGUUGGGUAAAAAAGGAAAUCUCGAAAAACUCCAAAGUUAUUGGGAUGUUGGAUUUUAUUUGGGGGCAUGUAUACUGGCCAAUGACUCAUCAAAAGUUAUCCAUGCAGCAGAAAAGCUUUUCAAGCUCAAAACCCCAGCAUGGUUCUUGAAUUCAGUUGUGGAGACCAUUUUGAUUUAUCAGCAUUUUAAAACGCCAAACCAAGAACAACAUGUAACAAACCAUGAGCUGGUUGAUUUUUGGAUGGAUUUUCUUGUUGAGUCUACAAGUAGCAAUGUGUCUGUAUUACGGUUUCCUGUCUUAAUACUAGAGCCAACAAAAAUCUACCAGCCUUCCUACCUAUCAAUCAAUAGUGAAGCUGAAGUUCAGACAAUAUCUAUUUGGCACGUUCUACCUGGCGAUAAGAAAGGAAUCCAUGAAUGGAAUUUCCCUGCAGAUUCUAUCAGAGGUGUAAGCAUUUCAAAGUUUGAAGAAAGGUGCUGUUUUCUGUAUGUUCUGAACAACUCUGACGAUUUUCAAAUAUAUUUCUGCACAGAGCUCCACUGCAAAAAAUUCUUUGAUAAAGUAAACCGUAUCAAAGAAGAGAAUGGAAAGAACACAGAAGAAGGGGAGUGUGAUGGAGAUUUAAUGGAGUUCGACUAUGAGUAUGAUGAAAAUGGGGACAGAGUGGUUCUCGGUAAAGGGAAACAUGGAGUGGUAUAUGCAGGAAGAGACUUGAGUAACCAGGUCAGAAUUGCAAUUAAAGAAGUUCCAGAGAGAGAUGGUCGAUGCUCUCAACCACUUCAUGAAGAGAUUGCUUUGCAUAAACGUCUAAAGCAUAAAAACAUUGUUCAGUAUUUGGGAUCAUUCAGUAAAGGUGGUUUCAUUAAAAUAUUUAUGGAACAAGUACCUGGAGGAAGCCUCUCCGCACUUCUAAGGUCAAAAUGGGGACCCUUGAAAGACAAUGAGCAGACAAUCGGAUUUUAUACCAAACAGAUCCUUGAAGGUUUGAAAUAUCUCCAUGAUAACCAGAUAGUUCAUAGAGAUAUCAAGGGUGAUAAUGUUCUUAUAAACACAUACAGUGGUGUUCUGAAAAUCUCUGAUUUUGGCACUUCAAAGAGACUUGCUGGAAUCAACCCAAAUACAGAAACCUUCACUGGCACUCUACAAUAUAUGGCACCAGAAAUUAUAGACAAAGGACCAAGAGGAUAUGGAAAGCCAGCAGACAUUUGGUCUCUGGGAUGCACAGUUAUAGAAAUGGCAACAGGAAAACCACCAUUUUAUGAGCUUGGAGAACCACAAGCUGCCAUGUUUAAAGUGGGCAUGUUUAAAAUUCAUCCAGAUAUCCCAGAAUCUAUGUCGUCUGAAGCUAAGGCAUUUUUGUUGCGGUGCUUUGAACCAGAUCCUGUGAAACGCGCUACUGCUACUGAACUUAUAACGGAUGAAUUCUUGAAGGUGUCCUCUAGGAAACGCAAGUCCCAGCUUAAGCUUACAACUCUUUCCUCUGGCUCAAAUGAAUAUCUCCGUAGCAUAUCUUUGCCGGUGUCAGUGAUGGUGGAAGAUACAAGCAGCAGCAGUGAAUACAGUUCCGUUUCUCCAGAUUCAGACUUAAGAUCGGACCCAUUUACUUUUAAAACAAGAGCCAGAUCAUGUAUAGAAAAGGAUGUCAAGCUUAACAGAAGUUUAUUUCUAGGAAUUCCAGACGAGAAUUUUGAAGACAGUAGUGCUCCUCCUUCUCCUGAAGAACGAGACUCUGGAUUUUUCAUGCUGAAGAAAGAUAGUGAAAGGAGGGCUACACUUUAUCAUAUUCUUACAGAGGAUCAGGACAAGGUGGCUAGAAACUUAAUGGAUGCUUUAGUCCAGGGAUCAGAAAUAAAAUUGAAAUGGGACCACAUCACUGCUAUUGUUGACAGCCUAAAAGAGUUUGUAAGAUCUACUGACAGGAAAAUCAUUUCAACAACACUAUCAAAACUCAAACUUGAGUUAGACUUUGAUAGUCAUGCUAUCAGUCAAGUCCAGAUGGUGCUGUUUGGCUUUCAAGAUGCGGUAAAUAAAGUGCUACGAAAUCAUAACAUAAAGCCUCACUGGAUGUUUGCCUUAGAUAAUAUAAUUCGAAAGGCCGUGCAGACAGCUAUCACUAUCCUGGUACCUGAGCUGAGGCCACAUUUUAGCAUUACAUCAGAAAGUGACCAAGCAGAUCAGGAGGACAUAGAAGUAGAGGAAAGAAGUAAUAAACAACCCACAGAACAAACCAUUCACAGAGAAGUCAAUGAGGACAACGUGCAAACCUCAGGAGUGAGCACACUCAGUUCAACUUUGUCCCACAACUCUCAGAAUGCCGACAGGUCCCUGAAUGUGCAACUUGAAAGACUUAGGUUAGAGUCAAACAGGCUUUUGGAAGAAUUGUUACUUAAAGAGAGAGAAUUCCAAGUCCUUCUACGCCAAGCUAUUGAAGUGAAGGACAGGGAAAUCAAACGCCUGCAGUGCACGUCUGAGCCAAUAAGCACUUCCGUAUCCAGCACAAGGUCAACUAUCUCAGGCAGUGAAGACUUGAAUCUUGUUUACUGGCUACACAAGUGCAGAGUAGAUGAAGAUACAAUAAGCAAGUUUUUGGCAGAAGACUAUCAGCUUGAAGAUAUUCUUUGUCAUGUCACACGAGAUGAUUUAAAAUCUCUGAAUCUGAGGCUCUGGUCUAUUAAGGCCCAGGAAGUGAAUUGCUGCAAAUUCCCUGUCCACAGCUGGGGAUGGAUUGCUGGUUAUUCAAGUACGGCGCAGAGGCAGGGGCACCCCCAUCCCCCUGCACUCUGCGGCCCCCUAAUACCAGGCUAUGCCAGUGCACUACUAUUGGAGUGGUAGGUAUUUAUUCUAGCCAGCCGCUUCCCCUCCCUUUACUUUGUUUCCAGGAAACCCAUAGGCAUACUACACUGCCAUUCCGGACCCCAGCAUUGCCGUAGCAACUGGCGCCUAGAACACACCAUUGGUGCUCUUUCCUCACGUCCACCUUGCAAGGGCAGAAUGUUUAUUAGAUACCAUCCAAUCAGACCAACCUCCUAACUGGCUGACCGACCAGUCAACAGGCUCUAUGGGUACCCAGCCCAAAGUUAGCAGCCUUCCUUGGAGGAACAUCCGGGUCCAUCAGCCCCACAGAAGAACUAGUUGUCUGACCUAAUCAAAACCAUAUUGCAGUAAUCUCUUUAUUACCAAGCACCUCUAAGCAAUCUCUGGGAUAAACCACCGUGAGUGAGUUCUGCACUCAAGAAUCAAGAAUUUCCAAAUACACUACCUAUGAAACAUGCAUCAGUGUUCAAGGAUCGUAUUGAUAAGACCAUGGAAAAUAACUGUGGCUACGUUAACACAGCAGCCAUUUUCAGACCAUCCACAGCAUCUGUGGGACUGGCACAUACAGCAAAGUUUAGGACACAGGAACUACUGAAUCUCUACCCAAAAGACUCAAUCCUGCAAGCAGAACUCAACCACAUUGCCACAUCUGGCAGCAAAAUCAAUGCCAAUUUGGUGGUGGCCCACAGAGCCCUCUGGCUCCGCCACUGGUCAGGGGACAGUGCUUCAAAGAGCAAGCUAAUCUCACUCCCUUUCUUGGCGAGCAUAUUUUUGGCCCCAAAUUAAAGCAGCUCACCACUGAAGUGAGGGGGCAAGAGCACAUUCCUACCUCAAAGUAGGAGAGAUCACCCAGACUCUAACCACAGACAAUCACACAGGUCAUGGGUAACAUCCUCAUAUUCGUCCCUACAGGAAUCAAAACCAGAACCAGUCCUCGCCCUCAUUUUACUCAAACCGCAAGAAAACCAGCCGACCCCCUCACCAAAAACAGGGUAGGAAGCCAGGUCCACAAAAGUCACACAGAGGCAUGAAGGUCCUUCCACAAACACGGGGGGUCCAUACUGGUCCACCUGAAACCUCUAAACAGGUUUGUCUGAACAGCAGUUCAAGAUGGAGACAUUCCGUUCUGUGAUCAACACAAUGGAACCAGAGCAUUUUAUGACAACCGUAGACAUCAGAGGCAUACCUACAUAUGCCCGUACACCUAGCACACCAAAGGAACUUAAGGUUUCCAUUGGGCCAGGAACACUACCAAUUCAGAGCACUCUCCCGUUUGGCCUGACCACCACCCCGCGGGUAUUUAUGAAGGUCUUAGCUCUGAUUAUUGCCAUCCUCAGGCAGACGGGCAUCAUGUCCCAGGAGGAAAAGACUACACAUCAGCAUUCAAGAGCUCAGAGCAGUUUACAUUGCCCUCUGCCACUAGUCCACCCUGGACAAUGCCACCACAGUGGACUACCUAAACCACCAGGGUGGAACCAGGAGCAAAAACGCAAUGUCAGAUACCAAAAUAUUUCAGUGGGCAGCAUUUGGCCAACAUACCCAAAAUCUAAUCCAUGUAUAUCCCCAGGGUGGACAACUGGAAGGCGACUACCUCAAGAGGAACACGUUGGUUCAAGCUGAGUGGUCCCUUCAUCCGGAGGUCUUGGACACCCAGAGAUAUACCUGAUGGCAUCAUGCAACAACGCAAAGAUUUCUAGGUGCUGUGCCUGCAUCAGGGAUUUAGAAGCGGAGCCCAUCAAUGCCCUGGUCAUGCUGUGGACUUUCCGGCUGGUGUUCAUCUUCCCUCUCUUCCCCCUCCUAUUCUUGCCUCAGGUGGUACCGGCGUUCCACAUCUACCAUCAUGGUCCUAUCCUUAUGUCCUGAACCCAGCACCGACACAAAAAGAAGUCUUUACAACCUCGAUGUAGUACGGGCCCUUCGGGUAUACAUUAAAAGCUACUCAUUCAGGCGAACAGAUGCCUUGUUAGUCACUUACGGACCCUUCAAGAAAGGCCUCAAAGCAUCUAGCCACACUUUAGCCCAUGAUUGGCGGAGACCAUAUAUUUCCUGGGCCCGUACUGUCAGUGCAAUAAUUCACUCCCCUUUUUCAGAGGUGUUGGCAUCUUGCCAUGAUUGGUGAAGACCAUAUAUUUCCUGGGCCCAUUACCGUUGUGUUAUUGUUUUGGUUCAUCUGUCCUCCACUAUACCUCUUGUCCUGUCUUUGUCAUCUGAAACUGCAAGUGGGAGUAGGAAACCCUGUGGAUACUAGGGGAAGGUGGAGCUACAAAUCUUAUUCUAUUGUCCUGCUUCCAGAGGUGUCCAGGUUUAACCCCAGAUGUUUGCACUGACAGUAUGGGACCGGAAGAAAAGGAUUUACUGGGGAGGAGUACUAUGCACAAUAUGGAAAGAAAUCACUGACUACAGAGAAAAACAAGCCUCCUGAUGAGUCAGAUAAACCUGCAAGGAUAUUCUGUGCUGUAGUCUGAAAGAGGCAUCCUUGUGGAGAGACAUGGCUGGACAUUAUCCCAUUGUUUACUAAUGUGAAUUAUUUAGUUAUCUAUGGGGCAUAUUUAUAAUCAAGUAAACUUAAAUUUACACUUAAACUUGCAAAUUUGCCAUAAAAUGGAUCACACACAGACAAUUCAGUGCCCAUUGAGGUUUAUGUAAAUGGGAACAAAAGCCCUUAAAGGAAAACUAUGCCCACAAACCACGUAGGUCUCUAUAAAAAUAUAUUGCAUAAACAAGCUCUCAAAAU